UACGUGAGCCCCAAGCGUUGUCCGGAAUUAUUGGGCGUAAAGCGUCCGCAGGCGGUUAUGUUAGUCUUGUGUUAAAUCUUCAGGCUCAACCUGGAGGCUGCGCAGGAAACGGCAUAACUAGAGGGCAUGAGAGGCAAGUAGAACGCACGGUGUAGGGGUGGAAUCCGUUGAUAUCGUGCGGAAUACCAAAGGCGAAGGCAGCUUGCUGGCAUGACCCUGACGCUCAGGGACGAAAGCGUGGGUAGCGAAUGGG
rnacentral:misc_RNA from 1 species